CUACGGGAGGCACCAGUGGGGAAUAUUGCACAAUGGGCGCAAGCCUGAUGCAGCCAUGCCGCGUGUAUGAAGAAGGCCUUCGGGUUGUAAAGUACUUUCAGCGGGGAGGAAGGGAGUAAAGUUAAUACCUUUGCUCAUUGACGUUACCCGCAGAAGAAGCACCGGCUAACUCCGUGCCAGCAGCCGCGGUAAUGCGGAGGGUGCAAGCGUUAAUCGGAAUUACUGGGCGUAAAGCGCACGCAGGCGGUUUGUUAAGUCAGAUGUGAAAUCCCCGGGCUCAACCUGGGAACUGCAUCUGAUACUGGCAAGCUUGAGUCUCGUAGAGGGGGGUAGAAUUCCAGGUGUAGCGGUGAAAUGCGUAGAGAUCUGGAGGAAUACCGGUGGCGAAGGCGGCCCCCUGGACGGAGACUGACGCUCAGGUGCGAAAGCGUGGGGAGCAAACAGGAUUAGAUACCCUUGUAGUC
rnacentral:rRNA from 1 species